GUCUAAGGCCAUACCACCCUGAACGCACCUGAUCUCCUCUGAUCUCCCAACCCUAAGCAGGGUUGGGCCUGGUUAGUACUGGAAGGGAGACUGCCUGGAAAUACGAGGUGCUGUAGGCU
ensembl:rRNA 5S_rRNA 5S ribosomal RNA